rnacentral:rRNA from 1 species
CGGCAAGCUUAACACAUGCAAGUCGAACGGAUUGUUCUCGUAGCUUGCUAUGAGAACAAUUAGUGGCAGACGGGUGAGUAAUGCAUAGGAAUCUACCUAGUAGUAUAGGAUAGCCACUAGAAGUGGUGGGUAAUACUGUAUAAUCCCUGCGGGGGAAAGAUUUAUCGCUACAUGAUGAGCCUAUGUUAGAUUAGCUAGUUGGGGGGGUAAUGGCCUACCAAGGCAGUGAUCUAUAGCUGGUCUGAGAGGAUGAUCAGCCACACUGGAACUGAGACACGGUCCAGACUCCUACGGGAGGCAGCAG